AUGGCUCUCUCUUAACACAGUUCAGCCAUUUAUCGUCCCCUUCCGACGGACUAUCAUUGUUUCCUCAAGACCAUACUCGCAGAUGGUGUCAAGGGAGAGCCGAAAAUUGAGUUCCUGAAAUUUUCAUCCCAAACAGGACUCGAACCAGGAACCUUUGUGUCCGAUGCACUAAGGCAGCAACCAUUUGAUUUUCUGGGGGGGGGGGGGGGGGUUGGCUAUGGUUUUUUUUGGAAAAAAAGUUUGUUUCCAGUUUUUGGAGAAAAAAAUAAUUUGUUUUUGAUUCUGAGAAAAAAAAAUUGUUUGUUUCACCCUCAGCUGCCACUAUAUGUAAUGCUAAAAUUGAAAGAAAAAAAAUUGUUUUCGACUUGUUGCGAAAAAAAUAGAUUGUUUUUCGCCGCGGGCGAAAAAAAAAAUUUGUCCAGAAAAAAAAAACCAUAGCCCCCCCAGAAAAUCAAAUGGUUGCUGCCU
rnacentral:lncRNA from 1 species